GACGAACGCUGGCGGCGUGCUUAACACAUGCAAGUCGAACGAAGAGCGAUGGAAGCUUGCUUCUCUCAAUCUUAGUGGCGAACGGGUGAGUAACGCGUAAUCAACCUGCCCUUCAGAGGGGGACAACAGUUGGAAACGACUGCUAAUACCGCAUACGAUCUAAUCUCGGCAUCGAGGAUAGAUGAAAGGUGGCCUCUAUGUAUAAGCUAUCACUGAAGGAGGGGAUUGCGUCUGAUUAGCUAGUUGGAGGGGUAACGGCCCACCAAGGCGAUGAUCAGUAGCCGGUCUGAGAGGAUGAACGGCCACAUUGGGACUGAGACACGGCCCAGACUCCUACGGGAGGCAGCAGUGGGGAAUCUUCCGCAAUGGACGAAAGUCUGACGGAGCAACGCCGCGUGAGUGAUGGCGGCCUUCGGGUUGUAAAGCUCUGUUAAUCGGGACGAAAGGCCUUCUUGCGAAUAGGGAGAAGGAUUGACGGUACCGGAAUAGAAAGCCACGGCUAACUACGUG
rnacentral:rRNA from 1 species